rnacentral:rRNA from 1 species
CUUGGUGUUACUGCGAAGGGGGGACGGAGAAGGCUAUGUUGGCCGGGCGACGGUUGUCCCGGUUUAAGCGUGUAGGUGUGUGUUCCAGGUAAAUCCGGUUCACUUUAACACUGAGGCGUGACGACGAGGCACUACGGUGCUGAAGCAACAAAUGCCCUGCUUCCAGGAAAAGCCUCUAAGCAUCAGGUAACAUCAAAUCGUACCCCAAACCGACACAGGUGGUCAGGUAGAGAAUACCAAGGCGCUUGAGAGAACUCGGGUGAAGGAACUAGGCAAAAUGGUGCCGUAACUUCGGGAGAAGGCACGCUGACACGUAGGUGAAGUGAUUUACUCAUGGAGCUGAAGUCAGUCGAAGAUACCAGCUGGCUGCAACUGUUUAUUAAAAACACAGCACUGUGCAAACACGAAAGUGGACGUAUACGGUGUGACGCCUGCCCGGUGCCGGAAGGUUAAUUGAUGGGGUCAGCGCAAGCGAAGCUCCUGAUCGAAGCCCCGGUAAACGGCGGCCGUAACUAUAACGGUCCUAAGGUAGCGAAAUUCCUUGUCGGGUAAGUUCCGACCUGCACGAAUGGCGUAAUGAUGGCCAGGCUGUCUCCACCCGAGACUCAGUGAAAUUGAACUCGCUGUGAAGAUGCAGUGUACCCGCGGCAAGACGGAAAGACCCCGUGAACCUUUACUAUAGCUUGACACUGAACAUUGAGCCUUGAUGUGUAGGAUAGGUGGGAGGCUUUGAAGUGUGGACGCCAGUCUGCAUGGAGCCGACCUUGAAAUACCACCCUUUAAUGUUUGAUGUUCUAACGUGGACCCGUUACCCGGGUUGCGGACAGUGUCUGGUGGGUAGUUUGACUGGGGCGGUCUCCUCCUAAAGAGUAACGGAGGAGCACGAAGGUUGGCUAAUCCUGGUCGGACAUCAGGAGGUUAGUGCAAUGGCAUAAGCCAGCUUGACUGCGAGCGUGACGGCGCGAGCAGGUGCGAAAGCAGGUCAUAGUGAUCCGGUGGUUCUGAAUGGAAGGGCCAUCGCUCAACGGAUAAAAGGUACUCCGGGGAUAACAGGCUGAUACCGCCCAAGAGUUCAUAUCGACGGCGGUGUUUGGCACCUCGAUGUCGGCUCAUCACAUCCUGGGGCUGAAGUAGGUCCCAAGGGUAUGGCUGUUCGCCAUUUAAAGUGGUACGCGAGCUGGGUUUAGAACGUCGUGAGACAGUUCGGUCCCUAUCUGCCGUGGGCGCUGGAGAACUGAGGGGGGCUGCUCCUAGUACGAGAGGACCGGAGUGGACGCAUCACUGGUGUUCGGGUUGUCAUGCCAAUGGCACUGCCCGGUAGCUAAAUGCGGAAGAGAUAAGUGCUGAAAGCAUCUAAGCACGAAACUUGCCCCGAG